rnacentral:lncRNA from 1 species
GGAAAGCGCGGGGUAGAAAGGGCAGAGUCCGUGACUAGGCCUCUAGCCCCAGGGACCUAGGCGAGGACAGGCACUCCUGCUUUUCCAAGAGCACCCUGGCCCGCCACGCCCCCAGCCUGGGCCUAUAAACACCCACGACCCUAGCAAGGCAGAGACAGAAGCUGCUGGAGGGCGAGAGGAACGCAUCAGUGGAAGAAGACAGAAGCGGCUGGUCACGGAGAGCAUGUCAGCAGAAGAACACACCUACAGACGCCGGCUCGCCCGCGGGCUCCCCGGCAGGCCAUCGACCGGUGGGACGAGGUGGAGUUUGUCCUGGGCAGUAGGAGGACAGCCCGGGCACCCAGCGGCCCAACUCCAGGGGAAAGCCAUCUCCCUUCUGGAGCUGCCCAACUCCGGGGGAAAACCAUCUCCUUUCUGACUCUCCUGUCGGUGGAGAGUUACUUCCACUCAAUACGAUUUUGCAGUCAUUCUCCAAGCCCACGUGUGAUCCGAUUCUUCCGGUACACCAAGGCAAGAACCCGGGAUACAGAAAGCCCUCUGGCCUUAUGACAAGGUAGAGGGUCUAACUGAGCUAUAGACCGUGAACUAAGAGCGCACCCUGGAACACACGCCCUCUGGGGCUUCAGCUGUAAACAUCCACCCUUAGACACUGCCAUGGGGUUGGAGCCCCACAACCUGCCCAUCUCUAUGCCCCACUAGAGGUAUGACCAACGGGGCACUGAAGAGGCGAGCACACCCCAUCGCACGCCCUGCAAGGGGGACGGGGGAACCUUUCCCAUUUCAACACCACCGCUGUGGCUGCAUGUGGCUGCCAUAAGAAAAAGAACCCAUUCUUUGGCACAGCUGAAGCAGGACUCUUCUCGUUGUUCUCCAGAGUCUGGCUGGCCUGGAACGUGCCAUGACUGUACAAUAUGAUAGGAGGGAGACUGUACCAGCUCCAAGCCAGCUUUUCUGAUACCUGCAGCUUCUGAUUCCUCUGGAGGAGAAGUCAGCUACUAGCAGAGUCAACUUUGAGCCCUGUUGCAAUGGUUCUUCUUCUAAGAAAAUGAUGACACCCGGCUUUGUAAAAGAAUUCUUUGCUCCCUGGAAUGUGAUGUACUGGAACAAGAUGCAUUUCCACGUCUGUAACAAAACAAAGAAAAACAAAAACACUUUUAGAGACUGUAAAAUAAUAAAAUUAUCAACUGCAACACCUCAGGGACGGCCCAGAUGCUCCUAUGGCCACGCACCUGCAGCAGGGACCUUCUCCCAGGUCGCCCCUACCGCCUGCCCAACUCGACCCCCGUCGUCUGCGCCUGCGCCCAGGCGCCUCUCACGCACCCCGGGCCCCCACCACCCUUUCCUGAGAACGUGAGCUUCGCCGUCUGCGCCUGCGCAAGGGAGCCCACCCGCUUCGCCGGAACUACCGCGGCACGAAGCCCCGCCCCCGCCCUCCUAGCCGUGGUCGCAGCCGUGUGCGCCUGCGCGCGGGAUCCUCGCCGGCCUCGCUCUCUGCGCGGUCGGCGGCGCUGCAGGCGAGCACAGGACGAUGACGAAGAGGACGGGGCUGCUGAGCGAUCCCCAGCACCCAAGGACCUGGAGCCCCAGGUCGCAGCCUCAGGACCCGGAGGAUGUGCCCAGCACCUCCAGGAGACGCGCGGACGAGGUCGUCGCCCCGCGGCUCGCCAAUCAGGCGUAGUGUGGAGACAGGGCGGGGAGUACGCUGGCGGCCGUGUAGACCCGCAGCACGACACGGUGGACUCAGCCCGGGAGGGAGUCUAGCUGCGGGCCAUGUCCAGCGUGGAUUCCAGAACCCGCCGCCUAGAGUCGCGGGGCGUCCUGAGGGAGAACUGGCCCCUAGUGGGAGUUGGGCGCGUCCCUGGAACCUCCCCUCCUCGAGGGCUGGGAGUUAGCGGGAAGAAGAAGAGGCCGCGGGCACCAUGAUUCAGACCCGGAAACUACGCCUCCAGGCAUGGCUAGGAGAAAUGGGCUUCGGAGACCAUGGCCACCCCUCUCCCUGCCUAGGAGCACGCCUGCCCCAGCACCCGGGCCUGAACGCAGCGAGAGCUCCAGAGCCUGCGAGUCCCAGAGGUCAGGAUCCGUUCCUUCUGAGGUGUCCCUAGGAGCUCCCUGAACCUCAAGCCAAAGGCCAGGCUACGGUGGUCAAGUCCCCCAAGUAGGGGGUCUUUUAAAAUACUUGGGUGGCUGGGACGGUGGCUCAAGCCUGUAAUCCCAGCACUUUGGGAGGCCGAGGCGGGUGGAUUGCUUGAGCUCAAGAAUUCAAGACCAACGUGGGCAGCAUAGCAAGACUCCCUACAAAAAAAAUAAUAAUAAGAUUUUAUAUAUAUAUAUAUAUAUAUAUAUAUAUGUACACACACAAACACGUACACAAAAAAUAGCCGGGCAUGGGGCUGCAGGCCUGUAGUACCAGUUACUGGGGAGGUUGAGAUGGGAGGAUUGAUUGAGCCUAAGAAGUGGAGGCUACAGUGAGCCAAGAUUGCAUCACUGCAUGCCAGCCUGGGCAACAGAGCAAGACCCUGUCUCAAGGGAGGAAAAAAUAAAAAAAUAAAUAAAAAUUUAAAAAAAGAACACUUGAAGUUACUCAGAUCAGGACUCAUGCAGAGAAAAGCCAACAGGAGCAACACCCCACAUUAGGGGAGGAAGACACCUGGGGAUUCACUGACUUCAGUUGUGUGAAUUUUACCCUAUGACCUUGCUUGCUUUAUGAGACAGCAGAGGUGGCCAAGGUCAAUCCUACUGCUCUGUGGUGAACUCUGCUUUUCUCUCGUUACCAUAGGUAAAGGGUCAUGCUCCUAUGUAAGCCUUCCUGUUCCCCAGUCAUUUGUGCACGGGGUAGGCCAUCAUCUCCUGCCUAUUCAAGGGAAUGACUAGUCCUGUCUUCUGUAUCCUCAGUCACCAACUUCUCAGUUAGUGUUGGACCAAGCCUAUGUUCAAAACAUGACUGAGACAGACCUCAAUCCAUAGAGAUUUAUUUAGCCAAGGUCCAAGGACACAUCUAGGAAAAAAUACGGGAUCACAGGAGCAUCUGCGCCUUCUACUUUUUCCAAAGAGGGUUUUGGGAACUUCAGUAUUUAAAGGGGAAACAGCAAGCAGGUGAGGAAAAAAAGCGAGGAAGUGUAGGCAAUGACAGAUGCUCACAUUCUUGUGAAACUCUGUUUACCCUAGUAAAUCUGCAUUUUACAUGUGAAAAGAGGGAGUAAAGGAAAUAGUCAAUAAUGCAUUCCUCUCAGGAUAGGCCCACGUGGAUUUUUAAUCUUGUCCUUGCCCUGUGAAGAUAAGCUGGUAACUGACAUUGUCAGGGUGAGAUUCAGCAGAACUCAGUUUUAGGACUAACUUACAGAGGAGCUGUGUAUCCUGAAGAUUCAGCGACUGGCAAGGAAUUUCCUUGGGAGCAAUGUGUGAGGGAGGCCAUCUGAGGAGAUCUGUGGCUUUCUUUUGUUGUGGGAAUCUGGCUUAUGGAUGAAUCUACGACACAGGAUUGUGAAAUUACAGCUCUUUGGGAACAAAAGGAAGGCAGUAUUGCAUGACUUAGUUUCCCAGCUUCACUUUCCCUUUGGCAUGGUGAGUUUGGGGUCUUGAGAGUCUAUUUUCUUUCACACCCAUCAGCACUGUUAAGUAAGCAGGAAGACAACCUGAGGUUGUCUCUUUACUUUGAGUUCCUACAUAAUAAAUUGCAGCCUAAUUUAGUACAUAAACCCAAACCUAAUUUAGGAGUAAAUUUUUUGUAGCAGAUAGCCAGAUUUCAGCCAAUCACAGGCUUCCAGCUAACAAGACUAUGCCCAAAUAAGGCAAAUGCCUCAUCACAUGAUGCUCAAAUAAGGCAGCCACCUAGGCGAGGCCAAUCAGGUAACUUUUCUACUUUGCUUAAUUGUUCAGCCUGUACAAAUUUGCUGCUUAUGACUGCUGAGCAGAGCUGUCUAAACCUCUUCUGGUUUGGAGUGCUGCCUUAUAUAUGAAUUGUUCUUUGGUCACAUAAAAUUGGUUAAAUUUAACUUCUCUAAAGUUUUGUAUUAAAUUGUAUGUAAAACAUUGGUAGCACAAUUUGGAUUCAGAUACCCAAAUAUUGACUAUGAUAAUGUAAAUAAUCCUUAAGCAGACUGAUUUACAAAGGCCUGAACAAGUUUGAUAUUCUGAAUAUUCACUUCUUCUGAUGAAAAAAUUGCCAAGACCUUACAAUUGGCAGGAAAAAAAAUGUGUGUUGGUUAAAUAAGUUAUGUUAACAACAAGAACAUUACCACAAUUAGAAAACUCUUACUAUGCCAGGCACUAUUAUAAACACACCUUUGUACCUUUUUUAAUCCUGAAAAAUUUCUAAUAAAUAUGCAUUUAAUAUUAUUUGUAUUUAAUAUUAAGUGUAUUUAAUAUUGCCCCUGUUUUGUGAAUUAAUGCAGCAAUAAACUGGCUUGCAAUGGUGAUGUAUUCUAUAAGGCAGCCAUUGUUGUCAUAAUGCUACAUAACACUACCCGAAUCUCAGUUGCUUAUAAUUCAAGUACUUAUUUUUCUUGUCCAUAAUCUGUGAAUCCUGCUGAAAUCAGCUAGACUUUGCUCCAGGAUGAGGGAUUGGUCCAAUUCUGUUCCAUCUUUCCACGCAUCUUUCAUCAGGUUAUUAGGAAAGAGUACACUUCACUGGCUGCUCUACUGGGAGGCUUUAUCUCCAUUAAGUGAACCACAGAGAAAAAAGAAGAGAAGAGUUUUACUUCUGUCAUCUGGUGAUACAUUGCUUUGGUGAAUACAAGAAACCACAGGAUAAGCAACAGGGCUCUUUGGUAAAUUCCACAGGCUCUCCUGAUAGGGCAGCCAAGUCUUUUCCCAGUAGCCAGCCCUUUGCACUAAAACAUGUGGAUUUUAUUUCUAUGGAUGUUGUGAGUGUGGACCUAAACUUCUCUAAGAGAACUUGUAUUUCUCAAGCCUAAAGAUGUAUUACAUUUUUUUGUAUUUGUAUUUGAUCCACAUAAAGAAGGGGAAAAAAAUUUGUGUGUGUGGAUAGCAUUCCAAGAAGGAACUCUAGCCCCAGGAAAGCUGCUAUUUCUGCUCUUCUCCAGCUACCUGCCAACAAUUUGUCCUCAAAAGAGGCUCUUUCUGACUAUUUACAGAUCUGUCACUUACAGAUUGGCAAUUUUCA